GACGAACGCUGGCGGCGUGCUUAACACAUGCAAGUCGAACGGUGACCCAGGGCUUGCCCUGGUGAUCAGUGGCGAACGGUGAGUAACACGUGGGCAACCUGCCCCUGACUUCGGGAUAACUCCUCGAAAGAGGAGCUAAUACCGGAUACGACCACUUCGGACAUCCGAUGGUGGCGGAAAGUUUUUCGGUCAGGGAUGGGCCCGCGGCCUAUCAGCUAGUUGGUGGGGUAAUGGCCUACCAAGGCGACGACAGGUAGCCGGCCUGAGAGGGCGACCGGCCACACUGGGACUGAGACACGGCCCAGACUCCUACGGGAGGCAGCAGUGGGGAAUAUUGCGCAAUGGGCGAAAGCCUGACGCAGCGACGCCGCGUGAGGGAUGAAGGCCUUCGGGUUGUAACCGUACUUCUAGCAGGGACGAAGCGAAAGUAGACGGUACCUGCAGAAGAAGCACCGGCGUAACUACGUGCCAG
rnacentral:rRNA from 1 species